AUUGAACGCUGGCGGCAUGCCUUACACAUGCAAGUCGAACGGUAACAGGUCUUCGGAUGCUGACGAGUGGCGAACGGGUGAGUAAUACAUCGGAACGUGCCCGAUCGUGGGGGAUAACGCAGCGAAAGCUGUGCUAAUACCGCAUACGAUCUACGGAUGAAAGCGGGGGAUCGCAAGACCUCGCGCGGACGGAGCGGCCGAUGGCAGAUUAGGUAGUUGGUGGGAUAAAAGCUUACCAAGCCGACGAUCUGUAGCUGGUCUGAGAGGACGACCAGCCACACUGGGACUGAGACACGGCCCAGACUCCUACGGGAGGCAGCAGUGGGGAAUUUUGGACAAUGGGCGCAAGCCUGAUCCAGCCAUGCCGCGUGCAGGAUGAAGGCCUUCGGGUUGUAAACUGCUUUUGUACGGUACGAAAAGACUACUCUCUAAUACAGGGGUGGAAGUAGACGGUACCGGUAACGAAUAAGCACCGGCUAACUACGUGCCAGCACGG
rnacentral:rRNA from 1 species